UACAGAGGGUGCUAGCGUUGUUCGGAAUCAUUGGGCGUAAAGCGUGUGUAGGCGGAUUGCUAAGUACCUUGUGAAAUCCCACGGCUUAACCGUGGAACUGCUUGGUAUACUGGCUGUCUUGAGCCACUUAGGGGCAACCGGAACAAACGGUGGAGCGGUGAAAUGCGUAGAUAUCGUUUGGAACGCCAAUGGUGAAAACAGGUUGCUGGGAGUGUGCUGACGCUGAGACACGAAAGCCAGGGGAGCAAACGGG
rnacentral:rRNA from 1 species